rnacentral:rRNA from 1 species
AACGCUGGCGGCGUGCCUAAUACAUGCAAGUCGAGCGAACAGAUAAGGAGCUUGCUCCUUUGACGUUAGCGGCGGACGGGUGAGUAACACGUGGGUAACCUACCUAUAAGACUGGAAUAACUCCGGGAAACCGGGGCUAAUGCCGGAUAAUAUUUAGAACCGCAUGGUUCUAAAGUGAAAGAUGGUUUUGCUAUCACUUAUAGAUGGACCCGCGCCGUAUUAGCUAGUUGGUGGGGUAAUGGCUUACCAAGGCAACGAUACGUAGCCGACCUGAGAGGGUGAUCGGCCACACUGGAACUGAGACACGGUCCAGACUCCUACGGGAGGCAGCAGUAGGGAAUCUUCCGCAAUGGGCGAAAGCCUGACGGAGCAACGCCGCGUGAGUGAUGAAGGUCUUCGGAUCGUAAAACUCUGUUAUUAGGGAAGAACAAAUGUGUAAGUAACUGUGCACGUCUUGACGGUACCUAAUCAGAAAGCCACGGCUAACUACGUGCCAGCAGCCGCGGUAAUA